AUUGAACGCUGGCGGCAGGCCUAACACAUGCAAGUCGAACGAGUGGCGGACGGGUGAGUAAUGUCUGGGCAACUGCCUGAUGGAGGGGGAUAACUCCUGGAAACGGUAGCUAAUACCGCAUACCAUCAGAUGUGCCCAGAUGGGAUUAGCUUGUUGGUGGGGUAACGGCUCACCAAGGCGACGAUCCCUAGCUGGUCUGAGAUGAUGACCAGCCACAAUGGAACGUAGACACGGUCCAGACGCCUACGGGAGGCAGCAGUGGGGAAGAGUGAACAAUGGGCGCAAGCCUGAUGCAGCCAUGCCGCUGGUAUGAAGAAGGCCUUCGGGUUGUAAAGUACUUUCAGCGGGGAGGCGUUACCCACAGAAGAAGCACCGGCUAACUCCGUGCCAGCAGCCGCGGUAAUAC
rnacentral:rRNA from 1 species